GACUGCGGCGCUGGAACCCCGGCCCGGCAUCUGCUUUUCCGUGCCUGGAGCCUUGUCUCUCCGCACUAGCGCUGCACUGGCCCCUUGUCUCUGUGACAGGCGAAGAAAGAUCCCUGGACCGGGAUUAGGAGACGCGGGUUCUAGUUGCCACCUUGCCAACUGCUGGACAUCCUUGGGCAAACCACUUGGGCUCCAUUUUGCCAUUUGUUGAAUGAGAUUCCCCAAAAGCCCCUGACGUGCUGCCGCCGCCCCUUCUCCUCGAGGCAGUCCCCUGCCCUUCCCUUCUGCUGCUUACACUACCCUAUCACCACCCCUCAAUCUCUAUCUUCCUCUGCACGUCCCUUGCCCCUUCUAGUCCGCCACCUCUCUUUAGAUUUCCCGUUUUCAUUUCCACCUCUCCCGCCGAACGCCUCCUCUGCCCACCUUCCAGAGAGGCCUGGGUCUGGUACACGCUUUUCCACUGACCACCUGUGUGAUUCUCAGCAAGGCUCUCGGCCGCCUGCGCCCCACCCUCGUCCCCUUGCAGGGUUGAUCCGGUGAGACAGAAAAGGCUUUGAGAGCUGGUUCUGUGAAGAGUACAUGAAAUUUUGGCUACUUCUUUCAGGACUUAUCAGGUCUUACCAGGUCUGCACAAACCACGACGUCCUGGAAAAACAGCACAUGAGAUGGGGUAUCACCGUCUUAGCCAGGAUGGUCUACGAUCUCCUGACCUCGGGAUCCGCCCGCCUCGGCCUCCCAAAGUGCUGGGAUUA
rnacentral:lncRNA from 10 species